GCGCAGCAGGCGCGAAACCUUUACAAUGCCUGAAAGGGUGAUAAGGGCAUCCUGAGUGCUCCAGCAUUGCUGGGGCUUUUCCGGAGUGUAAAAAGCUCCGGGAAUAAGUGGUGGGUAAGACGGGUGCCAGCCAUUUACAUGUCUUACAAUUAAAACUCUAAGUUUCAAAGGCAUGUAAACUGGAAGCCGCGGUAAUACCCGCGCCACAAGUGGUGAUCACGGUUAUUGGGUCUAGAGCGUUCGUAGCCGGCCUAAUAAAUUCUUGGUGAAAUCCCGUGUAAAACAUGGGAAGAGCUAAGAACACUAUUAGGCUAGGGACCAGGAGAGGCUGAGGGUACUCCAAGGGUAGGGGUUAAAUACUGAAAGAGGUUACUUUCGUACUUUUAAAACUUCUCGGUUUUAACAAUCCUGUAAUCCUUGGAGGACCACCUGUGGCGAAGGCGCUCAGCUGGAAUGGCUCCGACGGUGAGGGACGAAAGCCUGGGGAGCGAAACUAACAAGGGAUAUCUUUAUAAACAGUAAAUUCAAUAGAGUAUGGGAUUAGACAAGUUAC
rnacentral:rRNA from 1 species